AUUGAACACUGGCGGCAGGCCUAACACAUGCAAGUCGAAUGGUAACAGGAAACAGCUUGCUGUUUCGCUGACGAGUGGCGGACGGGUGAGUAAUGUCUGGGAAACUGCCUGAUGGAGGGGGAUAACUACUGGAAACGGUAGCUAAUACCGCAUAACGUCGCAAGACCAAAGAGGGGGACCUUCGGGCCUCUUGCCAUCAGAUGUGCCCAGAUGGGAUUAGCUAGUAGGUGGGGUAACGGCUCACCUAGGCGACGAUCCCUAGCUGGUCUGAGAGGAUGACCAGCCACACUGGAACUGAGACACGGUCCAGACUCCUACGGGAGGCAGCAGUGGGGAAUAUUGCACAAUGGGCGCAAGCCUGAUGCAGCCAUGCCGCGUGUAUGAAGAAGGCCUUCGGGUUGUAAAGUACUUUCAGCGGGGAGGAAGGGAGUAAAGUUAAUACCUUUGCUCAUUGACGUUACCCGCAGAAGAAGCACCGGCUAACUCCGUG
rnacentral:rRNA from 1 species